CUCCGCCUUGCCCGAAUGAAAAAGAUGCAUGAGCGGUCUGCGUCUCUUCUGCUUUUUCUGCCACACUUACAGUAUCCAAACUGCAAACUGGGGAGUAGACAGCGAUGUGACGGCGAUGGCUUUCCGAAAACGAAUGUGUUCCGAUUCGAGAGUCCUAACUAUAUUUGUUGUUACCUUUCAGCUUCAUUGUUCUGCAUCUUUCUUGUGU
ensembl:ncRNA C24F3.7 ncRNA